UAUGUCAAAAAAACUAUGCACAGAUAAUUUUAUAAGUCCUAUCGAACGUUUGGUUCGUCAAUUGAUGUUCGGUAGCUAAAUAAUUACUUUACAUUGCAGACAAACAAAAUGAAGAGUCUGGACAUAGACAAAGUUCUUUUCAUUUAUUGCCAAAAAGAGAUAUUACAAAAUUGAACCGAAGUCCAAUUACAAGUGUUUGAUUACAAGAAGAAAAAUAACAAUACACC
rnacentral:lncRNA from 1 species